rnacentral:rRNA from 1 species
CCUACGGGGGGCAGCAGUGAGGAAUAUUGGUCAAUGGACGAGAGUCUGAACCAGCCAAGUAGCGUGAAGGAUGACUGCCCUAUGGGUUGUAAACUUCUUUUAUAUGGGAAUAAAACGUUCCACGUGUGGGAUUUUGUAUGUACCAUAUGAAUAAGGAUCGGCUAACUCCGUGCCAGCAGCCGCGGUAAUACGGAGGAUCCGAGCGUUAUCCGGAUUUAUUGGGUUUAAAGGGAGCGUAGGUGGAUUGUUAAGUCAGUUGUGAAAGUUUGCGGCUCAACCGUAAAAUUGCAGUUGAAACUGGCAGUCUUGAGUACAGUAGAGGUGGGCGGAAUUCGUGGUGUAGCGGUGAAAUGCUUAGAUAUCACGAAGAACUACGAUUGCGAAGGCAGUUCACUGGACUGCAACUGACACUGAGGCUCGAAAGUGUGGGUAUCAAACAGGAUUAGAUACCCCAGUAGUC